rfam:Picea glauca, whole genome shotgun sequence.
AUAAUUAAUACACACCUAUCCCACACAACCACAUACACAAAUGAUAACACACCUAUAAACAUAAGAAUCAAUGCACCUAACCUAUUUACUUACCCACACAUCUCAACGAUGCAUCUUGUUGGUGACCAUUCUCCUCUCAGGUAAAUAGUUAAUCUAUGUUAGUUAGACCGAGUAGGUCCAAGGGGGAUAGGGUUUAAUGUGUUAAUAAUAACCUAAACUAGACCUUGAAUAUACACCCCCUAACCUUCUAAAUCAUUGACCCAUAACCCAUAACCCUUCUAAAGAUGCAAUGUGAUUUAUUCCCAUUGCUCUGCAUGUCAAUGUGAAGAAAUUCAACGAAGCACAGGUAAAUAACAUGAGUAACUAUGACUCUCUUAAGGUAUCCAAAUGCCUCAUAAUCUAAUUAGUGAUGUGCAUGAAUGUAUUAAUGAUAUUCCCCAUUGUUCCUAGAUACUAUAUUCUAGAGAAACCACAUCCAAGGGAAUGGGCUUGGAAGAAUUAGCGGGGAAAUAAGACCCUGUUGAGCUUGACUCUAGUCUUAACCCAUUCAUAAUUUGGGA